rnacentral:rRNA from 2 species
CCCGCCAACGGUGGAGCAUGUGGUUUAAUUCGAAGCAACGCGAAGAACCUUACCAGGUCUCAUCCUCUGACAAUCCUAGAGAUAGGACGUCCCCUUCGGGGGCAGAGUGACAGGUGGUGCAAAAAAGUCAGCUCGUGUCGUGAGAUGUUGGGUUAAGUCCCGCAACGAGCGCAACCCUUGAUCUUAGUUGCCAGCAUUCAGUUGGGCACUCUAAGGUGACUGCCGGUGACAACCGGAGGAAGGUGGGGAUGACGUCAAAUCAUCAUGCCCCUUAUGACCUGGGCUACACACGUGCUACAUUUUCAGAACAAAGGGGGGGAAACCGCGAGGUUAAG